UUACGGCCACAUCAAGUUGAAAUACCAUUUCUCGUGCAAUCACUGAAGCUAAGCAACGUUGAGCCUAGUCAGUACCUAGAUGGGUGACCGUUUGGGAAUAGCAUGUAUUGUAAG